AUCUAUAGCCAUAUUACUCUCAAAUGCGUCUGAUCUUCCUUGAUCUUGGAAGCUAAACAAGUCUGGCCUGGUCAAUACUUGGAUGGGAGACUGCCUGGAGACUCUGGGUUCUGUAGGCU
ensembl:rRNA n-R5s47 nuclear encoded rRNA 5S 47